rnacentral:rRNA from 1 species
UACGGAGGGUGCGAGCGUUGUUCGGAAUCAUUGGGCGUAAAGGGCGUGUAGGUGGUCUAUUAAGUCAUGUGUGAAAGCCCUCAGCUUAACUGGGGAAGUGCGCAUGAAACUGACAGGCUAGAGUACCGAAGAGGAAGGUGGAAUUCCCGGUGUAGCGGUGAAAUGCGUAGAUAUUGGGAAGAACACCGGUGGCGAAGGCGGCUAUCUGGACCGACAUUGACGCUGAGGCGCGAAAGCGUGGGGAGCAAACAGG